AUUGGUAGGGAGCACAGCUCCAUGGACAUGUGCAAAGAACAAACAUGUCCAGUUGCAAUUAUAUCACCUCACUGGACAUAACCAAUGGACAUUGACUUUCACUAGGUGUAGCGAAUCACCAAUUUGGAACUGUAUUUAAAAUGCUUGUCCUGCCACAUUGGAGAGUUUUGCUUCAAGGUUAUCAGUGAGACUGGCCACCUUGCUGUCCAUCCCUGGACUCCAUCAUUCCCUGAUGUCCAGCUAUCAGCUGGAGAGAACCACAAGACAAGGACAACAUCUGCUCUUUGGCUAAGAGAAGUUGUGUGACAUCUGAGUGUUCAGAACAACUUUAUAGAACACAACUGUAGAGAAUGAUGAGAAUCUCCUGUCAUUUCCAGAAAUGCCCAUGUCUUUUCUGGGAUGCCAUACCUCCUCUCUCCCGACUUCCACGCGGAGCCUCCAGUUCUUACACGUAUCAGAGCUUCUGAGUUCUUGUAACAUCACCUCUCCCUCUUGCCCCUCCAACCUUAAAGGUAACAGUAGCUCCCACUGCCCCAGGGUGAUUCACCAUCCUUUGGCUUUUCCCUCCUCCAUCUCUUGUGUAAUAAAUUCUAUGUGUUGAAUUUCUUCCAUUAAAACUAAUAGAAUAAUUCA